AAGGAUUGAAGGAAAUUGGAAAUCUGUAGAAUAGUCCAGACAUUUUCCUCCCACAACGUCGAGCUAUUGUGGUACCAAUCCUUUCUUUCAUUUUUUACACCCUUACAUUUUUAUCAAACCUCAUUCUAAUUGUAAUAACCAAUUGUUGCCUGGGGCCAAAUAAAAUACAACCAAACCCAAUGAAACUUGGGUCAAAUCCUAACCCAAUUACAAGGCCCAAUUGGCCUAAGGUAACAGAAACCUUAAGCAGCAGAUAGCCUUGGCGCCGCAUGUCCCCACGUCGCCCAUCACCUACGUCGCUACACCCACGAUCAGUAGUUCCGCAUAACGCUGAUUCCACCUGCAAACCACAAAUAGCAAUACAACAAAAAUGUAAAGGAGAGGGUUUUGUCCUUUAUGUAGGCUAUAUAAAGCCAAAUAGAGAUCGGUACAAGGGUUAGAAAAAUUCUGUAUUGAAAAACAUCAAAGAAAAUACAAAAGAGAAAGAAACAGAAAAGCAAAAAAAUAUUUUUGAAGGUGAUUUUAUGUUUUUAUCUUCUUUUUUUUAUUUGUUUUCUUGUUUUCAUGUUUUAAGGAUCUUUUUCUUUUUUCUUUUUAAAAAUAAACAAAACAACAACAAAAAAAAGAAAAGGAGAUACUUACCUGCGAGUGUUUGCUGCCGAAUUGACGUCGAAAAGGGCUGGAGGUUGCAGUGGCUUUGGGGGGGUUUGGGUUAAAGAAAACCCUAGCAGAA
rnacentral:lncRNA from 1 species